CGGGGCCUUGUGGGAGGGGCGGCCGGUGCAGCCGCGGCUGCCAUCUUAGCAAUUCCUGGCGUUGCGGCCUUGUCGUUGGAGGCGGCCUUCGUGGCGGCCGUCGGCUUCAGGGGGAGGCAGAAAGUCAGCUCGCUGAUAGCUCUCCUUCCCCCGGCUUCGACAAGAUUGCCAGCCCGCUUCCGGAAGCGGAGGCGAGGACAGCCGGGCACGUGCGGGGCCCGAAGCCAGCGGUUAGUCCCAGCGUCGCCCGGAAGGAUGGGCCGGUCUCGGAGCCGGAGCUCGUCCCGCUCCAAACACACCAAGAGCAGCAAACACAACAAGAAACGGAGCCGGUCCCGGUCGCGGUCUCGGGACAAGGAGCGCGUGCGAAAGCGCUCCAAGUCCCGGGAAAGUAAACGGAACCGGCGGCGGGAGUCGCGGUCCCGCUCGCGCUCCACAAACACGGCCGUUUCCCGGCGCGAGCGGGACCGGGAGCGCGCCUCGUCCCCGCCCGACCGCAUCGACAUCUUCGGGCGCACGGUGAGCAAGCGCAGCAGCCUGGACGAGAAGCAGAAGCGAGAGGAGGAGGAGAAGAAAGCAGAGUUCGAGCGGCAGCGAAAAAUUCGGCAGCAGGAAAUAGAAGAAAAACUCAUCGAGGAAGAAACAGCACGAAGAGUGGAAGAAUUGGUGGCAAAAAGGGUGGAGGAAGAAUUGGAGAAAAGGAAGGACGAGAUUGAGCGAGAAGUGCUCCGAAGGGUCGAGGAGGCCAAGCGCAUCAUGGAAAAGCAGUUGCUCGAAGAACUCGAGCGACAGAGACAAGCUGAGCUUGCAGCGCAAAAAGCCAGAGAGGUAACGCUCGGUCGUUUGGAAAGUAGAGACAGUCCAUGGCAAAACUUUCAGUGUCGGGUGUGCCUCCUGCGCAGUUCAGAAAGAGAUGGAAUGCAGACCAAUUCCUUUCUCAUCUAAACUUAACAUUGCUGCGAAAGUUAAUUUUUUAGCCUAUUCAGAUGUGCUGACUGAUAUUUAAAAGCUAUUUUCAUAAAACUAUCCAAGGAUACUUUUUGAUUUAAUGGAGCUGGCUUACAUAUUUGAGAAGUGUUUGAAACUUUUGCCAUGGCUGCAGGACUUACAUUCUUUUUUUGGGAGGGUGGGGGGAGACAGGGAGUGGUAAAGGGAAAAGGUUAAAAAUCCACCUGUGGUUACGUGUUCUUCUUUUCUGUUUAUCUCUCUUAUUGCCUAGACUGUGAGAGGCUUUUUGCCUUCGUUCAGAUUAAAAAGAGCAGGGCCUAACAUUGAGUGAUAGCACCUGCUUUUGAUAAGUAGGUUUUCUUGCUCUUCUUUUUUUCCUUCUUUUAUCCCUCACCCCCCUACCCCAAAUCCUGCCUCAACACAACGGACUAAUUCUAGCAUUCUGAUCAUAAGGCCCUCCAUUUUCCUAAUGUGUUUCAAAGAUCUUUUUAGGAAAAAUGUCCAGAUUAUUCGUCCACUUUUUUAGUAUCUACUAACAACUCCUUUUUUUCUCUAGAGAGUUAUGAAGGAACAGGUUGUCCUUGUCUGGAGUCAAGCUAAACACAUGAUUUGUUUUAUCAGCAGCUGGAGCAGAAGUUGAAAAUGUCUUUCUGUGAGACAGUAAUUUGCUACUGAAGCUUUAUGGCUUAUUUGCACUGAUUACUCCAGGAUCCUAAAACUUAUUGAAAGUCACUGGAACGCUCAAGGCAAAUUACUUUACAGCACUGAGUGUCCCUCAACAUAGUUUGCAUAGCGACUGUGAAUUCCAUUGGUGUGUGCCAUAGGAAAUCCCGUGGUUAUAUUUUCUUGAAGUUCAAUGUUUGACUCAAAAUAUGUGACUCAUUGUCAUUUUUAAUCUUGGCAUUAUUGUGGACAAGUUGACAUCUUAUUAAAUCUCUUGUUUCCCAGUAAGCUUAGCUUUUCAAAUGCAUUUUCCCUUGUGCUGUCUUUAACUAGAUAUACAUGUCUAUAUUUGGUGGAUAUCACAAACUCUGUGCCAUUGAGUAUAUGAAAUUUUUGUUAGUGCCUUUAAUAAUGAAGAUACUUUUGGAGUAAUGGUGCUGUCUUGUAGCGAGUUAUUAAUCAUAGGAAGAUUUUUUUCUCUUCAUUUGCUUUUUGUUUCAUAUUAACAAUUUUUUUUUUACACGGACACAACCCUCUGACAGUCUUUCCAAAUAUUAAAAUCAUUUGAAUAUGUAUGCUGUGAUCUGAACACUGCCCAAACCAUCAAGCAAUCUUCAUAUAGUUUGCAUUAUAAAAUCUCAUUAAAUUCUCCAAGAAAAAAUAAAUUACAGAAUUUUAUUUCGUGACCAUGCACCCCCUGGAUUCCUGAAUUUCAGUUCAGAUUGUAGAUGACAAGCUGCCUUUAGAAAUUGUCAACAUCUGAAUGUUAAGUCCAUUCUCCCCAUGGAAGAAGCCCUUAGUUCCAUGAAGUAUGGAUUACCAUUUGUAUUUUUCACUAACAGUAAAUGUAUUUUUCUUAUUAAUUGUUUGCCUUAGGAAUGAUGAAUUACAUUUUUUGUUCCUUCUUACCAUAAACAUCUGCAUUCCUCAGCUCAGCCUUCCUUGUAUGUUGUUUCUUUAUAAAUGGUUGAGCUGCUGAUGCAGGUAUUGCCAAGCUAACAGUACAAAUCAUUUUAAAGAGGAAGCUGGCGCGUAUGGCAGCCGAGGAGCACACUCUGCAGGACACUGGACAAGACAGAGGAAGAACGUGCAAAACGUGAGGAGCUAGAGCGAAUACUAGAAGAGAAUAACCGAAAAAUUGCAGAAGCACAAGCCAAACUGG